GGGGUGUUAGCUCAGCGGUAGAGCAAUUGACUGCAGAUCAAUAGGUCUUCGGUUCAAAUCCGGAACUCCCCU
rnacentral:tRNA from 1 species